AAAGUAACAAAAUUAUAGAUAUGCUUGCAUAGAUAAAAUUUUGGGAAUUUGGAUGGUUAACAAACAUGAGCAAGUAGAAGCAAAGCUUCGGAUUGCGAAUGUUUGUAGGAUUACGAAAGCAUCGAAGAUGCGAAGUAAUCCGUA
rnacentral:sRNA from 1 species